rnacentral:lncRNA from 1 species
CGCAGUCUUGAUCGUAGAGCAGUACUGCGGAUUCGUAUUAUUCCUAUUUCCGUGGUACUUACUGUUGAGGACAUUAUUUUUGAUAUGGUGUUCCACGCCAAUCCGAAACAACGGUGCGGCUUUCAUAAACGCCAAGGUCAUAUAUAGAAUCUUCAAGGAUUGUGGUAAACAGCAGCCUACGCGAAGGCCUCACGUCAACAUUAACUGUUCCAAAAUCCAAAACUUGACGCAACACCGCCAACCAUAUCGGCGAAAUUGUCUGCCACCUCGGCGAUCACCUCAGACGACAUCUUGGAGGUCGGCACUUCGGAAAUGAACAUUUAACCAAUAGCCAAAUCGGUGGUUAUGUAUUCAUGUCUGUCAUAGCCUGUUAAAUAAAAAUCGAGUGAGAUCGCUCUCAGAUUCAAAAGUAUUGGUUAUUAUGUAUUUAUUACACUGUGUGUUCAUUCCUUCAUCGAAAAAAUCUACUCGUGAUGAAAAUGGUAGAAAAGGUUUUACAAAAUACAGCAUACGAGAUUCACAAAACUCAUUUAUAAUUGUGACACCAACUUCUGUUGACAUGGAAUCUACACUCCAAAAAAUGUCUGAGAUGGGUGCAAUCCAGCCUUGUAUAUUAGUUAUUGGAACACUAUUUGAUCCAAAGCAAAUUCUUGUGUAUUUUGACAACAUUAAGUAUAAAAUGUUUUCAGCCAUUAAAGCCUUUGACAUCUGUUUUAAGAUUUUUCACGUAUUCAAUGUAGAGUAUCCAAUAGAGUCAAGUGAUGUGUGGUUUUUUAUACAAAUUUUUUUUUUAAGAUAACUACAAAGUAUGAUAAAUCUAAUGUAUUAAUUAAACAAGUGAUAAAUGAAUUAAAAUCUUAAUUGUAUGCAUAAUGUAUU